rnacentral:rRNA from 1 species
GACGAGCCUGACGAACGUUAUUCGGAAUCACUGGGCUUAAAGGGUGCGUAGGCGGCUUUCUAAGUCGGAUGUGAAAACUCUGGGCUCAACCCAGAGCCUGCAUCCGAAACUGGAAGGCUAGGGUUUUGGAGGGGAAAGCGGAAUUCCAGGUGUAGCGGUGAAGUGCGUAGAUAUCUGGAGGAACACCGGUGGCGAAGGCGGCUUUCUGGACAAAUACCGACGCUGAGGCACGAAAGCUAGGGGAGCAAACAGG